rnacentral:rRNA from 1 species
UACGGGGGGGGGCAAGCGUUGUUCGGAAUUACUGGGCGUAAAGGGCUCGUAGGCGGCCAACUAAGUCCGACGUGAAAUCCCAAGGCUUAACCUUGGAACUGCGUCGGAUACUGGAUGGCUUGAAUUCGGGAGAGGGAUGCAGAAUUCCAGGUGUAGCGGUGAAAUGCGUAGAUAUCUGGAGGAACACCGGUGGCGAAGGCGGCAUCCUGGACCGGUAUUGACGCUGAUGCGCGAAAGCCAGGGGAGCAAACGGG